rnacentral:lncRNA from 1 species
GCGCAGCGUGUAGGCGAUUUUAACCACAUUGACACAGCAACUAUUUGAAGUUAAUAACUCAUAUUGAUCAUUUUGAUUCAUAAACGGUAGGAACAUUUUUGUUUUCAUUUCGUUUCUUUUUAUUCAACUAAAAUGUUUAUAUGAAUGAUAUGGCCAUUUCAUCAUUGUUGAUUAUGCCAUGGUCUAAAUUAGUUUUGUUUUACCAAACAGACGUUAAUUGUGCAAAAUGGAAACUGAAGUUUUCGUCUGGGGCGUGUUUUAUUGGUCUCUUCUGCACAUCUCCAGAAUGUCUGCUGGUGAAGAGUAAAACAAAAAUUAAUUUUGACGUCGAAUAUAGCAGAUUUUUGUUAUGUUGGAUGACAUAAAUGAAGUUUUCGAUGACUUUUUUUUGAAAUUAAGAUAUGUUCCGUAGACAUGCAUGACUGUAAAAGUGUGCUCUGUUCGUUACAAUUUUUUUUGUGCUUUCCUAUAUCUUAAGUUUUCUAAACAAACCAGGCUUAAUCUCCCUCUAUUUGAUUUUUAAGAAUAAUCUUAAACUGCACGAAAAAUCGUCAAUGUUUGUCUGGAAUAUGACUGAUCAAAAAGUACAUCUCAGUCUAUACAUUUUUUUUAAAAGUAACAGAACUGGAUUUUUUUUUUAUAAAGCUAAGAUAUCUGGAAGUUCUAAAAAUCGUUUUUCUAUGGUGCUCCUUGAAGAACAUCUUCUGGUCCUAACUAUUAUUUCUAAUGCACAAUUUUGAUGGUCAAA